CGGUACAGGAACAUUCGUUGCUGUUUCGCUGACGAGUGGCGGACGGGUGAGUAAUGUCUGGGAAACUGCCUGAUGGAGGGGGAUAACUACUGGAAACGGUAGCUAAUACCGCAUAACGUCGCAAGACCAAAGAGGGGGACCUUCGGGCCUCUUGCCAUCGGAUGUGCCCAGAUGGGAUUAGCUAGUAGGUGGGGUAACGGCUCACCUAGGCGACGAUCCCUAGCUGGUCUGAGAGGAUGACCAGCCACACUGGAACUGAGACACGGUCCAGACUCCUACGGGAGGCAGCAGUGGGGAAUAUUGCACAAUGGGCGCAAGCCUGAUGCAGCCAUGCCGCGUGUAUGAAGAAGGCCUUCGGGUUGUAAAGUACUUUCAGCGGGGAGGAAGGGAGUAAAGUUAAUACCUUUGCUCAUUGACGUUACCCGCAGAAGAAGCACCGGCUAACUCCGUGCCAGCAGCCGCGGUAAUACGGAGGGUGCAAGCGUUAAUCGGAAUUACUGGGCGUAAAGCGCACGCAGGCGGUUUGUUAAGUCAGAUGUGAAAUCCCCGGGCUCAACCUGGGAACUGCAUCUGAUACUGGCAAGCUUGAGUCUCGUAGAGGGGGGUAGAAUUUCAUGUGU
rnacentral:rRNA from 1 species